rnacentral:rRNA from 1 species
GACGAACGCUGGCGGCGUGCCUAAUACAUGCAAGUUGAGCGAUGAAGAUUGGUGCUUGCACCAAUUUGAAGAGCAGCGAACGGGUGAGUAACGCGUGGGGAAUCUGCCUUUGAGCGGGGGACAACAUUUGGAAACGAAUGCUAAUACCGCAUAACAACUUUAAACAUAAGUUUUAAGUUUGAAAGAUGCAAUUGCAUCACUCAAGGAUGAUCCCGCGUUGUAUUAGCUAGUUGGUGAUGUAAAGGCUCACCAAGGCGAUGAUACAUAGCCGACCUGGGAGGGUGAACGGCCACAUUGGGACUGAGACACGGCCCAAACUCCUACGGGAGGCAGCAGUAGGGGAUCUUCGGCAAUGGACGAAAGUCUGACCGGGCAACGCCGCGUGAGUGAAGAAGGGUUUCGGAUCGUAAAACUCGGUUGGUAGAGAAGAACGUUGGUGAGAGUGGAAAGCUCAUCAAGUGACGGUAACUACCCAGAAAGCGACGGCUAACUACGUG